AUUGAACGCUGGCGGCAGGCCUAACACAUGCAAGUCGAGCGGGGUUUUCGGACCUAGCGGCGGACGGGUGAGUAAUGCGUAGGAAGCUACCCGAUAGAGGGGGAUACCAGUUGGAAACGACUGUUAAUACCGCAUAAUGUCUACGGACCAAAGUGUGGGACCUUCGGGCCACAUGCUAUCGGAUGCGCCUACGUGGGAUUAGCUAGUUGGUGAGGUAAUGGCUCACCAAGGCGACGAUCCCUAGCUGGUUUGAGAGGAUGAUCAGCCACACUGGACCGGAGACAAGGUCCAGACUCCUACGGGAGGCAGCAGUGGGGAAUAUUGGACAAUGGGCGCAAGCCUGAUCCAGCCAUGCCGCGUGUGUGAAGAAGGCCUUCGGGUUGUAAAGCACUUUCAGUAGGGAGGAAGCGUUGUGUGUUAAUAGUACACAGCGUUGACGUUACCUACAGAAGAAGCACCGGCUAACUCUGUGCCAGCCGCCGCCGUAAAAC
rnacentral:rRNA from 1 species